GUUAGCGGUUUCGAAAAGAGCUUCUGUCCACUGCGUUCGCUGAGGCUUAUCUUUCUAGUCACAUCGCGAAAGCCUGGCGAUUGGUCGAAAACCGUUCAGCGCGGUUGAUUAUUCGAUUUUAAACUCGGCGCCGAUGCAUUACGGGUAUUUCGCGCAUGCUCUUUCCCCCCUUUUUGUACCCAAAUUCCAAUUUCCAAACGGUGGGUAUCGGCAGGAAUUUACCGACGCGCUGCGCGCGCUGUUUUCCAACCCCAACCCUCGCGACUUAGGAAUGAGCCAUUGACUCAUGCCUGAUAGCGCCGAAUGAGUGUUCCUCGACACCUAAUGUUCCUGACUCAGAGGGAAAUUACCGCAUCCUAAGGAAGAAGUAAGCUAACGUUUUACGUUUCGAGUUCUGCCGCAAACUGCGACCAAAACAGAAUAACUCGUAGGUACAUGAACGAGGCGGAAAAAAAAACAGGAAACAGAAACCGCUGCUCGAAGGAAAACCAGCGGCUGGUGGGUACGAAGAAAACCGUACGUGGAUCAAGCCCCAGAUAUUUGAGUGGAAAUUCAACCGCUCUGUAAAUCGGCGCAGCAGCUGCAGCACAAAAAAUUUCCUCACCCCGCCAAGCGGGUCAGUUAUUUACGUAGUAUUCUUUGGUGGAGCUUCAAGGUCAAAUAUUGAGUGUAUAAAACGUGGGACCAUGUAGGACCAAAAAACUUGGGGGUUGUUGCCAAAAAAGUAGUUAAAUGAAUAAAAAGCUGCUGCUGCAAAAAAAGGUGGGACGCUGAGGAUCCCAGUGUGAAUUAAAGGGUUAAUGUAUCGAUAACGUUAUCGGCGGUGUGAUAAUAUGUGAACACACAGUUGACUCGUUUACAAAUCAUUGCCACAAAAAGGGAUCGAGAUGCGACGCGCCGCUGCUAUGGACAUCGAAUUUCGCGGCCAACGCCCACUACUUUCAUAAACGCGUGCGUGACGCUCGUCAUCAGCAUGAUAAAGUACCGAUGUCCAAUUAAUUUGUUUUCGAGACCGUUAUACUCAGUCUGCAGACCCAAGGACGCGAUCCUUGGACCUGCAAAAAGGGGAAUUCGCGUGUCUGUAUAAUAUCUAUAAGCAUAAGACAGUUCGAAAAUGAGAAUACGCGGGGUGAGAAUAAUACGAAAAUAAGAAUCUAUAGCCUCGCCUUACGCAAGGUGGCUCCUUAUUUAUACCGCCAUAAAUCGAUACGGUUUUGUACAGGUUGUAUGUUACAGAUCAAUCAAGUUCGGUAGUACGUCAGCCUCUAUACAUACAUUACAUCUGUCCAUCUUUCUUAUCAAAAUGUGACAGUCGAUCUUCUUGAUAAAAUAAUCGAACACCCAGUAUAUAUAUUUCGAGAUAAGAUUUCAACAUUAAAUCAGCUAUCGUAUUAUUUUAAGGUGAAGAUCAGUCUGAAUAGUGUUGUUUGAAAGUUUUGAGUCUUUCUCAAUUUUUAUCGAGAUCAGAAUAGUUUUACAGGUUCCACGAACGGUGCCGAAAUUUCUGUAAAACACAAAAUGUGUCAAUUCAAAUAUUCUAGUGUAAGUUUAAUACUAAUGAAGAAGAUAAGUUUAGGUAAAAAUUCAAU
rnacentral:lncRNA from 1 species